AGCCCGCUCGCUCAUUGCGGCAGAGGCCUAAUGUAACACCCAAAAUUUGAAUUUCAACUAAUAGGGUUUAAUGAGAAUUAUUUAAGCAGUUUUUGUGGGCAUUUAAUCUAGUAAAUAAAAUAUUUUUGUCAAAAUUAAAAUUUAACAUAAGAUUAGAAACUUGUUUAUGCAUUCAUGCCGAAGAAUAUUUUAUUUUGUAUUGUUUGCCUCUGGCUUGAAUUUAUUUGCAUUCAAAAUCUUAUUUGAAAAAGGUUUAGUUUGGAAAAGAAAACAGAAAAGAAAAUAAAAAAAGGAAACAAAACCCCAGCCGAAGCCCAGCCCCGGCCUGCUCCCUUUUCCCCUCCCCGGCCCAGCAAGCCCACGCGCGCACUCCCUCUCUCUCCCUCCUUUCUGCGGCUGACGACAUGGACCCGCUUGUCAGCGCCCUGUUCUUCUUCCUGGAGUCGGAACCGAGCCGGACUCCGUUGCAGCCGUGUUCAAUCCCGGAUUGUUCGGGAUUUCCUUGCUCUCCUCGCAAACCGAGCGCUAUAAAGCGUUUUCCCUCAACCCCGCAACCUCC
rnacentral:lncRNA from 1 species